rnacentral:rRNA from 1 species
GCUAAGCGAGUUCGAUCCUGGCUCAGGAUAAAUGCUGGCAACAUGCUUGACACAUGCAAGUUGAACGAGAAAAUAAAAAAAUAUUUUCUAGUAGCGAACGGGUGAGAAAUAUAUAAGAACUUAUCCUUUAAGAAGGAAAUAACAGCUGGAAACAGUUGCUAAUGUACUAUAUAAACUGAGGAGUGAAAGGAUAAAAAUCCACUGAAGGUAAGGCUUAUAUCUGAUUAGUUAGUUGGUGAGGUAAUAGCUUACCAAGACAAUGAUCAGUAACUGGUCUGAGAGGAUGAUCAGUCACACUGGGACUGAGAUACGGCCCAGACUCCUACGGGAGGCAGCAGUGGGGAAUUUUCCGCAAUGGGCGAAAGCUUGACGGGGCAAUGUUGCGUGAAGGCAGAAGGCCUCCGGGUUGUAAACUUCUUUUGUGAAAAAAUAAGAAAAAUGACAGUAUUUCAAGAAUAAGCAUCGGCUAACUCUGUGCCAGCAGCCGCGGCAAAACAGAGGAUGCAAGCAUUAUCCGGAAUUAUUGGGCGUAAAGUGUUUUUUAGGUGGCUUUUCAAGUCUUUCGUUAAAUCUCAGAGCUCAACUCUGAUCAAGCGAUUGAAACUAUUAAGCUAGAGUUUAAAUGAAACGGGGGGAAUUUCCAAUGAAGCGGUUAAAUGUGUUGAGAUUGGAAGGAACACCAAUACUCGGCGAAAGCACCCCGUUGGUUUAAGACUGACACUGAUAAACGAAAGCUAGGGUAGCGAAUGGGAUUAGACACCCCAAUAGUCCUAGCCGUAAACAAUGGAUACUUAGGAAUGCUAAACUGCGGUUUAGUAGUACUAAAGCUUACGCAAUAAGUAUUCCGCCUGGGAAGUAAGUUCGCAAGAAUGAAACUCAAAGGAAUUGGCGGGGGUUCGCACAAGCGGUGGAGCAUGUGGUUUAAUUCGAUGCAAAGCGAAUAACCUUACCAGGGAUUGAUGUCGUAAUCUUUCUGAAAAAGAAAGGUGCGUCUUACAAGACGUAGACACAGGUGGUGCAUGGCUGUCGUCAGCUCGUGCUGUCAGGCGUAGGGUUAAGUCCCCAAACGAGCGCAACUCCCAUGUUUAGUUGCCAAUUAUUGGUACCCUAAACAAACAGCCUAAUGAUUAGACUAAAUGGGAGGAAGGUGGGGAAGACGCCAAGUCAUCAUGCCCUUUAUACUCUGGGCUACACGCGUGCUACAAUGGCUGGGACAAAAUGUUGCAAUCCUGUAAAGGUAAGCAAACCCUAAAACCCAGUCUCAGUUCGGAUUGUGGGCUGAAACUCGCCCACAUGAAGUAGAAAUCGCUAGUAAUCGCUGGUCAGCAGUACAGCGGUGAAUAAGUCACCGGACCUUGCACAUACCGCCCGUCACAAUCUGGAAGUUGUUCAAACCCCAAAUCAUUUUAUAAUGAUAAAGGUAAGUUUGAUGACUAGAAUGAAGUCGAAACAAGGUAGCCGUAUCAGAAGGUGUGGCUGGAUUACCUCC